rnacentral:rRNA from 1 species
CCUACGGGGGGCAGCAGUGGGGAAUAUUGGGCAAUGGACGAAAGCCUGAUGCAGCAACGCCGCGUGAAUGAUGAAGGUCUUCGGAUUGUAAAGUUCUUUUCGAGGGGAAGAAGGAGGUGACGGUACCUUAGGAAUAAGCCUCGGCUAACUACGGGCCAACAGCCGCGGUAAUACGUGGGAGGCGAGGGUUAUCCGGAAGGACUGGGCGUAAAGGGUGGGUAGGUGGGUUGGCAAGUUAGUAGAGUAACUCCACGGCUCAACCUUGGAACUGCUACUGAUACUGUUGGGCUUGAGUGCAGGAGGGGCAACCGGAAUUCCUGGUGUAGCGGUGAAAUGCGUAGAGAUCAGGAGGAACACCAGUGGCGAAGGCGGCUUCCUGGACUGUAACUGACGCUGAGGCACGAAAGCGUGGGGAGCAAACAGGAUUAGAUACCCCUGUAGUC